CCUACGGGUGGCAGCAGUGAGGAAUAUUGCGCCAUGGGGGAAACCCUGACGCAGCGACGCCGCGUGAGUGAGGAAGGCCUUCGGGUCGUAAAGCUCUGUCAAGAGGAAAGAAGUGUACAAUGGCUAAUACCUGUUGUAUUUGACGGUACCUCUAAAGGAAGCACCGGCUAACUCCGUGCCAGCAGCCGCGGUAAUACGGAGGGUGCAAGCGUUGUUCGGAAUCACUGGGCGUAAAGGGCGCGUAGGCGGCUUGGUAAGUCAGAUGUGAAAGCCCACGGCUUAACUGUGGAAGUGCAUUUGAAACUGUCAGGCUUGAGUACCAGAGGGGAAAGUGGAAUUCCCGGUGUAGAGGUGAAAUUCGUAGAUAUCGGGAGGAAUACCGGUGGCGAAGGCGACUUUCUGGCUGGAUACUGACGCUGAGGCGCGAAAGCGUGGGGAGCAAACAGGAUUAGAUACCCCUGUAGUC
rnacentral:rRNA from 1 species